rnacentral:rRNA from 1 species
AUUGAACGCUGGCGGCAUGCCUUACACAUGCAAGUCGAACGGCAGCACGGGUGCUUGCACCUGGUGGCGAGUGGCGAACGGGUGAGUAAUACAUCGGAACAUGUCCUGUAGUGGGGGAUAGCCCGGCGAAAGCCGGAUUAAUACCGCAUACGAUCUACGGAUGAAAGCGGGGGACCUUCGGGCCUCGCGCUAUAGGGUUGGCCGAUGGCUGAUUAGCUAGUUGGUGGGGUAAAGGCCUACCAAGGCGACGACCAGUAGCUGGUCUGGGAGGACGACCAGCCACACUGGGACUGAGACACGGCCCAGACUCCUACGGGAGGCAGCAGUGGGGAAUUUUGGACAAUGGGCGAAAGCCUGAUCCAGCAAUGCCGCGUGUGUGAAGAAGGCCUUCGGGUUGUAAAGCACUUUUGUCCGGAAAGAAAUCCUUGGCCCUAAUACGGUCGGGGGAUGACGGUACCGGAAGAAUAAGCACCGGCUAACUACGUG